rnacentral:lncRNA from 10 species
GGCCCCCUCCAUCGGUGGCUCUCCCAGGCCUCUCUCUCUGUGGCAGGGAGCACGAUGAGGAGAGGAUAUUUCACGAGAAACGAGAGAAUGGUCUCUAGUUUCUUCCUCAAUCCACAGCUCUAAACACUGAUGCCGGCCCUAAAAGCCCUCAACAACCCCGAAGCGGCCUUAAACGGCAACCCCAGAUGGUACUCAUCAGAAACCAAUCCCAAGUCACGGAAUUCCCACAGCGCUGCGGGAUUCCUAAGGGCUUUAGGCAGAGUCAAAUGUAAUCUCACACAGGAGUCCCGUGAAUUUACUCCCUGGAAGGCAAAGCUUCCAUACGUCAUUUCCUCUUCUGCUCACUGGGCUGGAUGGCCAGGCUUUCCAGCUAUUAUACAAACUCAGUAGCACUUUGGAAGGCCAGGAUCCAUCUACAGACGCGGAUCCCGGUCCCACCAGGAAUGAUCGCUCAGCAAUAUGGUCGCGCCCAAGCCCUGACAUGCUGUUGGAAGCCACCAUCUUGGAAGACGCAGUACAGACUGCGAGACAGCCAUUCUAGGCGACCGGAUUCCGCUGACCAGGCCGAAAAGGAGUAAAUCUAACUGAUCCUUUCUAAUCUUCUAAAGACCUCUCAUCCUGUACUUCCACCUUCUUUCCUGUCAGCGUAGGGCAUGCUUAGUAGGAUUUCGGCACUUUCAACUAGUCUUCCGACCUGACCAAUCAGAACACACCGAAACAGAAAAUGGCUGCGCCCACGCUGCCUCGUUCUUCUAAACCACACGAAAGGAUGAAGAUUUGCUCUUCAGAAUACAUUUGCUAUGUUCUGAAUGUGUCCCCUAAAAUUCAUGUGUUGAGACCUUAAUUCCCAGUGCAAUGGUGUUGGGAAGUGAGGCUUAAUGGAAGGCGUUUCGUUCAUGAGAAUUCUACUUUCAUACCACUUGUAAAAGGACUUACAGGAGUAGGUUCACCCCCUUCUGCCUUUUGCCAUGUGAGGACACAGCAAGAAAUCUUCACCAGAUGUCAGCACCUUGAUCUUAGACUCCCUGCCCACUACAGAACUGUGAGCAACUACAUUUCUGUUCUUCAUAAAUUAUCCAGUCUCAAGCAUUUUGUUAUAGCAGUACAAAUAAAGACAACGCUGUUAAGGAAACGAUACUGGAACCCUCAUACACUGUUAGUAACAUUCAAAAAUGGUACCACUUCUUCGAAAAAGUUUGGCCACUUUUUAUGUUAAACAAGCAAUCUAACUAUUAAGCAUUUACCCAAAAGAAAUGAGAAGUUAUUCAAAAUAGUGAAAAACCCAGAUGCCUAUCAACUGGUGCAGAUAAACCUAUUCCAGUUUACUUAUACAAUGGAAUACUAUUCGUCAACAAAAGAACAAACUACUGACAUAUACAGCAACAUGAAUGAAGUUCCAUUUUAUUAUGCUAAGUGUAAAAAGGUAGACUCAAAAUGUUAUGUGCUGUAUCAUUCUUUUAAUAACACUAUGGAAAAGACAAAAUUAGACAGAGAACUGAUUUGUUCUCUGUUCUGGGGAUGGGGAGAGAAGGGUUGACUAAAAUGGACAGAAGGAGGGAUUUUUGGGCGGUGGUGGAACUUAUGAAGUAAAGCACUAAUCUUCUCCAAAGAGAGGUUUGGCCCUUGCUCUCAACUCCUGGGAGAUGACCUCUAAGCCUCUGAAAUUUCCUGCUUGGGAAGAGUAUCUUUGUUUACCUGGUUGCCUUGGGCCAUGCCAGAUAUGCUAACAAUAUGUUUUAUGAUGGGGGCCCUUAGGCCAUGCGGUAUGAACUCCACCUGUGCAGACUAUGGUCACCCAUGUGGAUAGUCAAUCACGUCUAUGUGAUUGAACCCAAGUAAAAUAUCUGGACACCAAGGUUUGGGCAAACUUCCCUUAUUGGCAUUAUUCUGCAUAUUGUCGCAAAUUGUUUCUGAAAGAAAUAGGUGCUGCCUGCAUGAUUUCUCUGAAAGAAGACAACUGGGAGCUCUGUGCUUGGUGUCCACUGGACCCUACCCUAUGCAGUUCAUCCCUCUACUGACUUUGUUCUGUAGCCUCCUGCUGUAAUAUACUGUACCUGUGGGUAUAAUGCCUUUUCUGAGUCUUGUGAGUAAAUUAUUAAACCUGAGGGUAGUGUUUAAACUUUGAAGUUGGUGUCAGAAAUGAGAGUAAUCAUGGGUAUCCCCAAAUUUACAGUUGGUAUUAUUAUAAAAAGUGAUAUUGGGGAACACUGAACUUGCAGCUGGUGUCAGAAGUGAAGAUGGUCUUGGGGACUCCCAAAUUACAAAACUGUUUUGCACCAUAAUCAUGGUGGUAACAUGAUUCUAUUUGUCAAAAGUCAUAGAACUGUAGACC